UACUCUUUGUUUUCCUCUAAUUCAGAUCUGGCCUUUAUAAGAGACCUGCAGCUUCUUUCUCAGAGGGUGGAGUUUCUCACUGUACAUGGACCAUUAAUCCUCAAUGCUCAGGGGGCUGGAUUUUAGGAGAGGAGUAAUCCAUUUCUCUUUUUAAUACAAUUCCCUUUGUAGGAAAAAUAAAUAAAGAAUAAACCAGGACUGUGUUGAUACUCCAACAUUGCUUCAGGCUGUAACUAAGAAGCUAACCUCAAUUUAAUUCCUGCUGCUUAUAUGUUUCAUAGGUAGAUGUACCAGGUCCUGUAAGUGUCUGCUGAGUUAAUAUUAGGUGGCGGCGGGAGCGGGGUGGGGGUGGGGAGAAAGACAUAGGCAUUUAACAUGGCAAUCUCCCUGGCUCAAGAAAAUGACUUGAUUGUACACGUUUGGGUUUCUGAAGAGCGGUAAUGAACUAGAAGACAAUUAUUGCACACAUUAUCUCAUUUCAUUUCUCAUUUACCCAGUAAAAUUGGCUUUAAAACACCAGUCCUGAAGGCUGUGUGUCGAAUUUGCUUUGAAGAGCAAUCUAGCGAGAACUCGCCAAGACGCUUUUCAUAUCUCCCCAACCACAAUAUUGUCCCUUAUUAAUCUGGUGUAACCGUAGCUGGGGGGGGGCGGCGGGCGGGGGGCAAUUGAGUGGAUUCAAAGCCAUAGGAGAGCAGCUGUUUUAAUAUUAGUUCUUUGUGAGCGUUUAGGAGGAGGGAAAAUGGGCACAGUCUGGCAUGACUUUGGAAUUGGGCCACUCCCCCUUCUGUUCGUGGAGUCCCCUCAUGCAUAAGUUCUCUUAGAUCACCAGCUCACAUUGUCAGAAUCAGAGCAGCUGUUUAUUUUGAUUUUAUCAACUUCCGAAGUUGGCUCGUGGCACAAGUAAAAACUAAAAAUGGGGAAAAGCAAGAUUCCCUCUCCGGAAGAUGACUGAAGUUAUGACCACCAAAGUUUCAUUUUCUCCAUUGUCUGAAAACUAUUUGUAUUUUCCCCUCCUUUACCGAGUGAAGAUUAGGAAAUUAGUUUUAAUUAUUACUUAUGAGGCACCAUAUGGCUACUCUAUAAUUUUGGCUUCCCAUGGAGCCUUGUGUGAGUAUGGAAAAUGAAAUUAAUUAGGAUUCACACUUUGAAAUCUAUUAUUAACUUAAUAAAGCUGGCAGCUUGUAGGGUGCCUUCGUACACUGUGUGAUGUAAUUGUUUAUGAUAACAAGCCACUAUUUAUAAAGCCGCAUAGGAAAUCUGACACACAUGGGGAGUAAAGGUCAAGAAAGAGAGUCUACAAGGUAGAUAUCAUUUCUAUCCAAAGUAGUGCUUUGCAAUUAACUCUGCACACAUCACACACA